GUCGACGUAGCUUAGUUGGUUAAAGCGGGCGUCUCAUACGCGCCAGAUCAAUGGUUCGAAUCCAUUCGUCGACA
rnacentral:tRNA from 1 species